rnacentral:ncRNA from 1 species
AAGAAAACUUUGAUAGGAAGAGUAGAUAUAAGAAGUAGUCAAAGGGAGCCUAUGAUAGUGAGACAUAGGUACGAAGCUUAUAUUGAAGAACAUCCUUGAGUUUCUAACCGAAAUCUUAGGAGAGUAGACUUAGACGGAUUCACACCGUUAUCAGUGACACAUAUUGUAAUAUGUGUUAAAGUGGCUAUUAGCAAUUAGGGUGGUACCGCGGAAGAUAAACUUUCGUCCUUUUG